rnacentral:lncRNA from 1 species
CGAAAAUUAAAAUAUUUAAAUAAAAAUACAGACGACAAUACGAAAAAUAUCUUUAAUUAAUAAAAAUAAAAUUUAAUUAAAAUCUUAAAUUAAUUUAAGAUUGGUCAACAACCUACAAAAUAAAAUUUAAAAAUAUAUUAAUUUUAAAUUAAAAUAGUAAAAUAAAACAAUAUCAGCUAACACAUCCAUCUUAAAUCCUAGAUCUAGCUCCCAUGACAAGAAAUCAGAAAUUACCAGAAAAUCAGAUAGCCAGAAAAUCGGGAAAUUGAAAUCUAGAACUCGGAAAUCAUGCAGAAAUUGAGGAUGAAAUUUGUGUAAUUUCCCUCAGUUCCACCGCCGGUGGCAGCCAUUUGCAGAAGUCGACGUUCGUCGGCGACGAGCAAUCUGGAGCUGCGGCGGCGAUUUUGGAAUUUAGAAAUCCCUAAAUUCGUUAUUUGGAGGAGAGAGAGAUAGUUGGGAAAAUAAUGUGUAUUUCCAAUAUAUUUAUUUAACCAGUAAUUCAGAAUGUAUUUUAUGCGAUUUACAUUAACAAAUAAUUAACUCUAUAACGAAUCUAAAUCUAACAAAUUAACUAAUUGUAGUUAGAUCUUGAUAUUGGAUUAAUAAACGAUUUGGAUCUGACCUGUUGCUAUUUAGCUCGUCUCUCAUUUAGAACAAACAUCAGAGAAGCCCACUCUAUUAAUGCUCAAAAGCGUCCAUGGAUCUGAGCUAUUCAUUUUUUUAAUUAUUUGUGAGAUAGAGAUGAUGGAUUGGUAGUCGUCGAUCCACGGACCACGCUGAGCAGAUCCUACGGCCACUCGCCGAGCAGAUCCACGUAGCAUGAGUAAUGUUGUAGACUAGGUCUCAUUUUGUCGUAUCACCUUGCAUAUCCACGUAAUAUCUCUUCCGCUUCCGCUCACCUUGCCGUAUCAAUCCGGAGUGUACACAGUCAGAAAAUAAACCGAGGAACGUUUGCUUCAUUGGGUUGUACUCUGAGUUUUCUCAUUUGGUAGAAAAGUUGGAUGGAUUGUUU